UACGUAGGUGGCAAGCGUUGUCCGGAAUUAUUGGGCGUAAAGCGCGCGCAGGCGGCCUCCUAAGUCCGAUGUGAAAGCCCACGGCUCAACCGUGGAGGGUCAUUGGAAACUGGGGGACUUGAGUGCAGGAGAGAAGAGUGGAAUUCCACGUGUAGCGGUGAAAUGCGUAGAGAUGUGGAGGAACACCAGUGGCGAAGGCGACUCUUUGGCCUGUAACUGACGCUGAGGCGCGAAGGCUAGGGUAGCAAACAGG
rnacentral:rRNA from 1 species